rnacentral:misc_RNA from 1 species
ACCGGAAGGUGUGGCUGGAUCACCUCCUUUCUAGCGAGACCUGAAGGCGAGUCGCGUGGUAAACCACGUCGGCUAACGCCCCAGCUCCAUAGAGAGCAAAAAGCCCCGUAAAAUGGGCGGCUGUAGGACACUCUACAGCCAGGCCGGUGGGAAACUGCCGGGAGCCGGUAUAGGCCGGUAAAGAAGAAGGAAAUGACUCCGAGACUGUCUUAUCACUCUUUAGCGGUUAAAGUCCGCUAGACAAUUGCUGAAGUGUAUUGGCAUGGGGCGAGCCGGUGUGGGCCGGGUCAUGGGCGGCGGGGCGGUAAGCCUCGUGAAAUCCGGGCCUGUAGCUCAGUCGGUUAGAGCACUGUGCUGAUAACGCAGGGGUCAGUGGUUCGAAUCCACUCCAGGCCCACACCCGAUGCGAGACCUAGUGCGGAGGCGGCGAGAGCGGCCUCGUCGAUUUAAGGAGCCGUCUUUAGGAUUCGUUCUGAAGAUGGGUCUGCGAGUCGGUAGGCAUCGGGAGCGGUUGGCACGUUAACAACUGAAUAGGAUUGGGAAGAAGCGUCUUCCUGGUGGUUUAGACGGGGGGCCUGAACGGUAGCGAUACCGGUCAGCCAACGGUUGUGAACGGUCAGGAAGCGUGGGGAUUACACAAGAUUAAGCUACUAAGGGCGCACGGGGAAUGCCUUGGCGUCAAGAGCCGAAGAAGGACGUGUAGCGCUGCGAAAAGCUACGGGGAGCUGCGCUAAAGCUAAGAGCCGUAGAUGU